GAGACUCCAACCACGUAGAACUUAGCUCCCAGCCCCAGCUUGUUGGCGAGUUCUUCAAUGUCCAUUGCCUCACUCUUCACAUUCCGUUUCGGGUUUGGAUCGCUGUCCCCAUACCCUGCUCUAUCAAAUGAUACGAAGUAGAUCCCCAGCUCACCCACCAGCUCUUGAGAUGCAGGAAGCUGGAACUCUUUGGAGCUGUCGAAGCCGUGGACAAUUAUGAUCUUGUAUUUGGCCUUGUGUUUUGGAGUCCCGGCUUCCAAAUAAGCCAGAUGCCUCCCAUCACUGAGCUGAAUCCUGGGAGAGGUAACCGGUGGGCCGCCCGGGGAGCCACACUUUUUGGGCGGCGGCGGCUGGAGGGCGUGGUAAGUCCAUCCUAACAUGAUCGUCAGGAACACUGCUACUGCUCUGCUACUCUGGUAAGUGAUUAACAGAGGUGGAGCAUAUUUUUUCAUGUUUG
rnacentral:misc_RNA from 1 species